ensembl:lncRNA
AGUGACUGCAUGAUCAAUCCAGAUGGAAUUUUUGCUUUACCAAAAGCCACACCCAUGGUGUGUGGGAGGGAUGCUGGUGAAAGAGACUUCCUCAUACAAUCUGCUGUGCCCUCAUUUUUACCAGCUCACUCCCUGAUGGCUCAGAUGGUAAAGAAUCCGCCUGCAAUGCAGGAGAUCUGGGUUCGAUCCCUGGAACAGGAAGAUCCCCUGGAGAAAGAAAUGUCAACCCACUACAGUAUUCUUGUCUGGAGAAUCCCAUGGACAGAGGAGCCUGGGUUCUGUCAACACAGGAGAAAAGAACUAGGGGGAAAUACCUGUAGGAAAAUGGUUAUAUACUUGCUGUCAAGAAGACAUUACUGCAACCAAAGUCAAAGAAAGAUUCAUUGCAGGUGUGAGAGAAUGUUGGGAGGACUGAAGACUGUAAAAUGGGAGGAGAGAUGAAGAUGUGGACAGUUUUAUUUCCUGACGGUUGCUCUCCAUUCUAACUUGUGCCUCUCCAUAGCAAUGCAGGGCGACUGUCUUCCAGAUGAAAAUCUCUCGCACUCAGAGCUGAUGUCUCGUGUCCACAAAGGACCUCUGUACAUACUUAUGACAGCUGUUAUAUGCAUUUCUGAAUUAAUAUAUGCAAAGUACUUGGAAACCUGAC